UGGGGAAUAUUGCACAAGGGGCGCAAGCCUGAUGCAGCAACGCCGCGUGAACGAUGAAGGUCUUCGGAUCGUAAAGUUCUGUUGCAGGGGAAGAUAAUGACGGUACCCUGUGGGGAAGCCCCGGCUAACUACGUGCCAGCAGCCGCGGUAAUACGUAGGGGGCUAGCGUUAUCCGGAUUUACUGGGCGUAAAGGGUGCGUAGGUGGUCUUUCAAGUCGGUGGUUAAAGGCUACGGCUCAACCGUAGUUAGCCUCCGAAAACGGAAGGCUUGGGUGCCGGAGAGGAAAGUGGAAAUCCCAGUGUAGCCGUUAAAUGCGUAGAUAUUGGGGAGAAAAACAGUAGCGAAGGCGGCUUUCUGGACUGCAACUGAAACUGAGGCACGAAAGCGUGGGUAGCAAACAGG
rnacentral:rRNA from 1 species